CAGGUUGCCUAAUUUGGUCUUCUCUCCUUGUGCAACAUUCCCAUUUUGUUUACUGACGAGGAAGAUUGAGGCCUGCUCUGUAGAGAAUCAGGCCCAGAGCUCUUUUCUGUGGGAGCUUGGUACCAACCAGCACCGAAGCCCACCUGUCUAUCUCAGUUUGUAAGUGGGACAUAAGAGAUCCACCCAAGAGCAGAGUCUAUCGCAAUGUCACCCCAGCUGGCCAGUGGCCUGGCAGACAGGCCUUCUGAAUCCCGCUCCCAAACUCUGAAGUGUCGUCAUCCAGUCCCCAUCAAGACAGAGCUGACUUGCCACGACUUCCAAAGUCCUGUAUACCCCAGCCUCUCUGCCUUUCUUAUCUCCUCUAAUAAGAACAGAACUCUGCUAGAUCAAUGCAGGCUCCUGAUGGGCAGAAUCUGAGUCCCACAGUUGACUGUCAAUCUAACCCAGCCUCUGGCCCCAGCCCUUCAAGGCAGCUUCUCCUUGAACAUCUGCAAGAAUAACUCACUUCCUCUCUCAAGGCAGCAGGACCUGACUGCAAGCACCCAGCACACCUUGCUGUGCUAGGCUCCUGUUAUGCCCUCCUGUGACUUCAGAUUCUUUCAGUCUCCUAUUUGACAUCUCCACAAGGAGAUCCAAGAGGCCUUUUAGCAUGACCUUGUCCAAGUGUCUCAGAACACUGUAUAUGAGAUUUACCCCUUGAGUUCUGAGUGUCUAAAACAACAUCGUUAACUAGGAACUGGAACUUAAUUAUCUCACACAACCCAAACUUGAGAGAUGUUCCACGGCAAUACUCCACCCCCCCCCAUCAUCUCUCAAGCACAUCUGCCUCACCUGGGGAGCCUUAAAAAUAAGUGGAUACGGAGCUCUACCCCCAUGGCUCUGAUUUAACUGCUCUGGGUGUGUUUCCAGGGAGGCUCUUGGUGAAUGGUAAGGAACAUUAGAACCUCCAUUUUUUCGUAGUCUCUCUCGUCAUCUCACUGACCUCCUCUCCUGAAUACUUGCCCUAGACCACUAGCUCCACACUGGAGUCCUCUCCCUUUACCUUGUUGCCUUCUCUUUACUUGGUGACAUGGAGAGCAUCUACUUGGCUCACAGGCCCAUACCUCUGGGGAGUCUGCUCUUAGUCCUCUUUCUGAUUCCCCAUGGUCCCCAAGACUUCACUCCAUCCCAACACUCCCCACUCUGUGCCAGUCAUUAGUUUUCUUUCCUGGUCUCUGUCGCCAGGCAGGAAGUUCUUUAAAAAGAAGGGAUCUGACAGCACCAGCUUGCAGAUGACUGAAUGGGACCUAUUGCUCAGGGUGUGCUGAGCACAUACUGAGUGAAUGAAUGAAGAGUGAAUGGACAGACAUGGUUUAAACAGGUCAGAGGAAGAGCAUCCACGAGCAUCUUCAGCCAUCAAAAGCCUCUUCCUUUUCUGAUGUGGCCUAAGAUUAUCCUGUCUUAACUCCUGCAUUAUGGUUUGACGUUCUAUUAUUAUCUGAAAAUUCAGAUUUAAAUUAGCUUAGGAAUUAACACCAACUCGUCUUGAUCUUUUCCUUCAUGAACCUCUGACAUGCCAGAUCUUCCCCAUCCUGAAUGCGCACAACUGAUUUGAAGCCUAAAUAUAGAACUUUGCAUCAAUCCCUAUUAAAUCCUUUUUUUUUUUUUUUUGCACUGAGGGCCCCUACUUCCUGUUUGUCAAAAGCAACCGUUUUAUGUUCCUUAUCAUUAACUACUUCUCGAAACUCUGUGUGACCCACAAACAUGGUGGCAUGCUAUCCCUAAGGCACAGAAAAAGGCAGUGGCUUGUCACCAGUGACCUACUUCACAACCACUGCUAAUUCAUUUGUCAAUACUCUUCAGGACUGGUUUGUUAAUGAGUCACAAACCCAUAUCACGCCACAGUCAUUGAAGCCAAGUCUCCCCUCCUCACCCACGGGCUCCCAUGAUUGGUACAGUUUAAGCCUUUGCUAGUCAAGAUGUGCUGUGCUUGCUUAAAGCUCCCUUCUGUCCAAGGGACCAAUGCAUGUGCCAGUGAAGACAUCAAAGUGGUCUGGAAUGACUGGUUUUUAGUGACUCUGUGUGGAUUCCUCCUGUUGAGUUUCUCAGAUGGUCUGUUUAUUAAAAUCUUGUUGAAUUCUGA